CCUACGGGUGGCAGCAGUGAGGAAUAUUGGUCAAUGGGCGCGAGCCUGAACCAGCCAAGUAGCGUGAAGGAUGACUGCCCUACGGGUUGUAAACUUCUUUUAUAAAGGAAUAAAGUGAGGCACGUGUGCCUUUUUGUAUGUACUUUAUGAAUAAGGAUCGGCUAACUCCGUGCCAGCAGCCGCGGUAAUACGGAGGAUCCGAGCGUUAUCCGGAUUUAUUGGGUUUAAAGGGAGCGUAGAUGGGUUGUUAAGUCAGUUGUGAAAGUUUGCGGCUCAACCGUAAAAUUGCAAUUGAUACUGGCAGUCUUGAGUACAGUUGAGGUAGGCGGAAUUCGUGGUGUAGCGGUGAAAUGCUUAGAUAUCACGAAGAACUCCGAUUGCGAAGGCAGCUUACUGGGCUUUAACUGACGCUGAGGCUCGAAAGCGUGGGUAGCAAACAGGAUUAGAUACCCGAGUAGUC
rnacentral:rRNA from 1 species